CGCGUAUACAAUCUACCUUAUACUGGGGUAUAGCCUUUAGAAAUGAAGAUUAAUCCCCCAUAGUCUCUUAAAGUGGCAUCACUUAAGGAGUAAAGGUUACGGUAUAAGAUGAGUAUGCGUUCUAUUAGUUUGUUGGUGUGGUAACGGCACACCAAGACUACGAUAGAUAGGGGCCCUGAGAGGGGGAUCCCCCACACUGGUACUGAGACACGGACCAGACUCCUACGGGAGGCAGCAGUGAGGAAUAUUGGACAAUGGAGGCAACUCUGAUCCAGCCAUGCCGCGUGCAGGAUGACUGCC
rnacentral:rRNA from 1 species